CCCUUAGAUGUUCUGGGCCGCACGCGCGCUACACUGAUGCGUUCAACAAGUUUCCUUGGCCGAGAGGCCUGGGCAAUCUUCUUAAUAUGUAUCGUGAUAGGGAUAGAUUAUUGCAAUUAUUAAUCUUGAACGAGGAAUUCCUAGUAAACGCAGAUCAUCAAUCUGCAUUGAUUACGUCCCUGCCCUUUGUACACACCGCCCGUCGCACCUACCGAUUGGAUGUUCCGGUGAAGCCUCGGGAUGAGGACUGGUGCCUUUAUUGGCAUGAGUUGUUCAGAACUUGUCUAAACCUUAUCAUCUAGAGGAAGGUGAAGUCGUAAC
rnacentral:rRNA from 1 species